AUGGCACCGGAGCCCGCUGUGCUACCCGAGGAUGCCCUGACGGAGGUACUCCGGCGCCUCGCGCCGCACAGCCUAGCCGUAUCCCGGCUUGUCUGCAGGGGCUGGCGCGAUACUAUCAACGCCCGCCUGCGCGGCCACCUGCUAUCCCGCUCCGUGGACGGGAUCUUCAUCAACUUCACCCAGCUUAGAUUUUUCGAGUUCUUCUCAUGUCCCUCGAUGGGCCCGGCGAUCUGUGGAGGGCUCAACUUCUUGCCCUGCAUGGGCGUCAGGGUCAUGGACCACUGCAGCGGGAUCUUGCUUUGCCGCGGUCUGGGGCACGAGUGCGACAAGGCACUGCCGAGCGAUUAUGUCGUCAACCCGGCCACACGUCGGUGGACGCGUUUGCCCCAAUGCCCUCCGCCACACAUGCCGGGAUUCGACCAGAGCGCCUACCUCGCGUUCGAGCCAGGCGUGUCGCUGCAGUACGAGUUCUUUCUGAUCCCGCGAGUGCUGUGUGCCGGCGUGUCUGACGAUGAUGCAUUGCUUGGAUCAGAGUGGCCUCCCGCAUCAUAUGUCAUUGAUGUGUUCUCGUUGGCGACUCAGUGGUGGGACACGACGACCUUCAUUCGGGAAGGAGAGGCCCCAGAGAUCAUUGGCUACAUGGAUUCACAUUGGUGGUAUAAUCGAUAUCAUUAUCAUGCCGUCUACUGGCAAAGCAAUCUCUACAUCCAUUGCCAGCAUGGCUAUCUCAUGAGAAUGUGUUUGUCAGAUCACACAUACAGAGUAAUUAAACUACCAGCUGUCAGUCCAUAUUUACCUAGAGGAUAUCCUGACCACCAUUUGGGUAAAUCACUGAGAGGGAUGUAUUGCGCAAUAUCUCAUAAACGGAGUCCGCUUCAUCAGAUUUGGCAUCUCAAUGAAUCUUGCAGCCGAAUAGAAUGGGUGCUAAACCAUGAUACCACUCUUAAGACCUUUGAGCAUGAGGACUAUGCUCAACAACUGGGUAGACAAUGGAUCUUACAGGAUGUUAACUACCAUAAGUUGUUCUUUGAGCGUAAUGGUAAUAUACAUGAAAUUCACAGAGCGGCGGUGGAAGAGAAAUAUGAUUGGAACUCUAAUGAGGAUAACAUUCUUGACAUUGAAUAUGAUGUUGAAGAGGGAUAUGAGGAUACCAUUCUUCACGUUCAAGAGGGAUAUGAGGAUAAUGGUCUUGACUUCGAAGAUGAUGUUGACGAGCAUAACAUUCUUGAAGACAGAUAUUAUGGAAAUUAUUAUUUUCUCGGGUUUCAUCCUUAUAGAGAGAUUGUCUUCUUAAUUUCAUCAGGGAGAAAAACAAGAGGACUGGCCUAUGAUUGGAACAGCUCAAAAUUUCAGGACUUGGGAAAUGUGGGUUCAGCAUAUUACGACCCCAUCUGUGGACUACCAUGCGGAGAGACACAUGCAGCUUUCCCGUACACGCCUUGUUGGAUAGGCGAGUUUCCAGGAAACGAAAUAGAAUCGCUAUAUAAAGAUCAAGAGCUAUCUAGGAAAAAGUUGGAGUUGGAAGAGGAAUCCAACCUUACAUGCAUGGACAUAUACGAGAUGCGCAAGUUCCAUAGGCAUGCCAAGAGGAUCAAGGACUCUGCUGCCAAGAGUCGGCGCAGACGGCACUAG
rnacentral:rRNA from 1 species